CCGUUACCGGCGGCCGGGGAAGGGGCGGGGCGGCCCCCGCGCUGGGCGGCGCCCCAUUGGCUCGUCAGCGCCGGGCAUGUCUGCCGAACUGUUUUCAGGGGACAACACAGGUGCUGUGAAUUGCCAAGGGAUGCGUCACAGCCAGCUGAAUCUGAACCACACUUGAGCCAGCACUGUGACACUAGUUGGAAAGUUCCUUCUACAGGGUACAGAGGCAUCUACUGACCUUGUUUGCCACCUCACAUGACCUGUUGAUUGAGGGAAGUUAGACCUGAGACUGUUGCAG